rnacentral:lncRNA from 1 species
UGAUUCAAAUUUUGUUGGAAAGUAGACAUCCGUAGCUUUCCAAUGACUAUAAGAACAUAAAAUUUGGAGAUCAGAUGACAUUUGAGGAGUCUCCCGAACUUCAUGCUGAUGUUGGUACUCGAGAAGGUGUUUGAGUAAUGGUGCGGUUGGGGUUUCCUGCUCCUAAUCUCCAACCCACACACCAUGAAGGGUUGACACUUGUCCAACCUUUAGUUGGCAAGUUGUUUAGGAAGUUUAUCAUUAGAUUUGAAUUUUAAAAAAUGUCCUUAUCUGAUUUUGAGUCCAAGUAAAUCUGUUUGUAACUUCCAACCUCUUUCUCUUUAUAAGAGGAGGUUUCGAUGAAUGAAAUGAUAUCAAAUUUAUUUGAAAAAAAAAUUCUAGAGAUUUGUGAGAGAGAGACCACGAAAAGAAGUGCUCUUUUCCAGCCAUUGGUGAGACACCAUUGGAGAGAAGAAGAUAAAGGUGAGACGCCCCAACCUUCUCCUCAAAUUCUAGGAACCUAGGGUGUGAGACUCAACCUAGUUUCUUUAGUUAUCCUUUAGAAAUAAAUUCCAAAAAAAAAAAAA